rnacentral:rRNA from 1 species
UACGUAGGGCGCAAGCGUUGUCCGGAAUUAUUGGGCGUAAAGAGCUCGUAGGCGGUUUGUCGCGUCUGCUGUGAAAACUCGAGGCUCAACCUCGGGCUUGCAGUGGGUACGGGCAGACUAGAGUGCGGCAGGGGAGACUGGAAUUCCUGGUGUAGCGGUGGAAUGCGCAGAUAUCAGGAGGAACACCGGUGGCGAAGGCGGGUCUCUGGGCAGUAACUGACGCUGAGGAGCGAAAGCGUGGGGAGCGAACAGG